UUUAAACUUUUAGUUAAUUGUUUUUGUUUUCGUUUCGGUUGUUUUUUUCGAUCUCAAGUUCUCUAUUUUCGAUUUUUUUGAAUGAUCUUCGGUUCUCCAACUUCUCCUCCAAGCCGUCAAAGCUCAAAGGUAAUUUUCUGUUAAUUGUUUUUUUGUUUUAGUUUCGAUUUUUUCUAUUUUUUAAAUACAGUUUUUGCUGUUUAUUUUUGUUGUUGUUCUUGCUUGAUAAUAAUCUUAAUAUGCCUAAGAUUUUUGUUGUUAAUUUCUAUUUUUGAUUUGUUUUUUUUUUUUACGGGAAAGGGUAGAUCCGUAGAUCGAUAGAUUUGUCGUUGACUUGUUGUUUAAUUUAUAUUUCUGUUUUCUUUUUCUAACAUUUGCAAAUCAGAUAUUAAGAUUAACAUUUUAUGUUGUUGAUUUGUUGUUCAUAUCCUCAACUACACUUUUCGGUCGAUCUGCAAUUCUCCAUUUUCAAAUCUUUCACCUUCAUCUUCAAAUCUUCCUCUGCUUCCGAGCAGUUAUGGACACCCAUCACCCAUGUACAAUAGCUUUCUUCUAGGAAUAUGAGAAGAUUCAGGAGAUUGUAACUUUAAAUACAUUUGUUUCUUUUUAAUUAUGGUUUGUAAUUUGUUAAGACUUUAUUUUGGUAUGUAAUAAUUAAUUAGGCAUUUAGACUUCUUAUACUUUAUUUGGUUUUAUUGAAAAUUUAAGUUUGAAAA